rnacentral:rRNA from 1 species
UCCCCUAGUAACGGCGAGUGAAGCGGGAAGAGCUCAAAUUUUAAAUCAGUGUGCCCUCCAGGCGCAUCUGAGUUGUAGUUUGAAGAGGCGUCUUCGCGUUCGUAACCGGCACAAGUCCUCUGGUACGAGGCGUCGUAGAGGGUGACAACCCCGUCCACGGCCGGCGCACCGGAUGCGUACGAUACGACCUCAAAGAGUCGAGUAGUUUGGGAUUGCUGCUCUAAACGGGUGGUAGGCUCCAUCUAAGGCUAAAUAAAGGCGAGAGACCGAUAGCGAACAAGUACCGUGAGGGAAAGAUGAAAAGAACUCUGGAGAGAGAGUUAAAAGUACGUGAAAUUGUUGAAAGGGAAACGCUUGAAGCCAGUCGUGUCGGUGGAAUAUCAACGGUAUGCGGGUGGAGGCUUUGCGUGCGGCAGGGUAAAACCGUCCGCGUGGAGUUCGAAGUUCGUUCGCUGUGCACUAUUCCGCAUGGCAGGCCAGCGUCGGUUUCGGACGCCGUAAAACGGCCGGGAAGGGAGUCCUCACAU